rnacentral:lncRNA from 1 species
GUGCAUGAUGAUUUCAGCAGAGAGUCCCUGGCAUCAAGCAACUAAUUCGACAGUGCCAACUGAAGUAGAGCGAAUCUUCGUUCAAAAAACAUUACGUUUGAACUUUCGGUCACUGUGCGGGCGUUAUUUUACUGACGUUUUCGUAUGUGUUGCAUUGCGCAAACGGCUAAAAUGCAUUAUAAAAACAUCACAGAUCGACCGACGUCAAUUAUUUAGGAACUAGGCUAAAUUUUUCCACAUAUUUUCAUAUGGAGACUUUGGUAAUGAUUCCUCAGGGGUGUUUAAGAUCCAAAUAUGAGAAAAAUUGCUUGAAAACGUUUCUCAAUUUCAAUUUAUGUGACUUUUUUGUGUAGUUCUUGAAUGCGUAGUUCUUGAAAAUAAGCAAACCUUCAAUGAUGGUCCCUUCCCUAAAAUUAUACAAACAAACCAGCGAAGAUUAACAAAUAGAUAAACGGAAAGUAAGUUUUAGGCUUUAUCCAUUCUCCUUAACAAAAUCGAUUUAAAUUGUUACGUUUUUCUACCA